AAGACUAGACUUUCAGGAACAUUUCUAUAAUUCGUUUACCCGAGAAGUCUCUCUGAAUGUGUAGAGCACUGGAAACCGCCAGGAGGAGGCACUGCGUUCUCUCCUGAGCACGAAGCGGCUGGCUCCUGGGGUUGCUUUAGUGCAGUUGCCAUUUGCCAUCGAUGAUCGUUCUUCUCUCCCGUUGGGGGGAGUAAGAGGGAGAGAACUCAGUCUAAGUG